GAUGAACGCUGGCGGCGUGCCUAAUACAUGCCAGUCGAGCGAACAGACGAGGAGCUUGCUCCUCUGACGUUAGCGGCGGACGGGUGAGUAACACGUGGAUAACCUACCUAUAAGACUGGGAUAACUUCGGGAAACCGGAGCUAAUACCGGAUAAUAUCUUGAACCGCAUGGUUCAAUAGUGAAAGACGGUUUUGCUGUCUCUUCUAGAUGGAUCCCCGCCGCAUUAGCUAGUUGGUAAGGUAACGGCUUACCAGGGCGACGAUGCGUAGCCGACGUGAGAGGGGGAUCGGCCACACUAGAACUGGGACACGGUCCAGACUCCUACGGGAGGCAGCAGUAGGGAAUCUUCCGCAAUGGGCGAAAGCCUGACGGAGCAACGCCGCGUGAGUGAUGAAGGUCUUCGGAUCGUAAAACUCUGUUAUUAGGGAAGAACAAAUGUGUAAGUAACUAUGCACGGCUUGACGGUACCUAAUCAGAAAGCCACGGCUAACUACGUG
rnacentral:rRNA from 1 species